UGCCAACCGCCAAUAAACAAAAAAAAUAGAAGAAGAAGAAGAAGACAUUUAUAUAUAAAUCUAUAUAUGUAGAUAUAUAUAUAUACAGUUACGCUGUGGCGCUUACAUCGUGCCCCGAGUGUAACACACUGGGCUGCAGCUUUGCCACCCUGGAUGAUACGUCCUUGUCACGCAUACGGAACCGUCAGCACAACCAGCAGUGUUGAAGACACAUUAUUUGAGGAAAUUAGUUGUAGAGCAGGUGCGAACAUGGUGAGCGGAGAAGAGUCGGAUCAUCCCUCUGCAGAAGAUACUGCUAAAAUCCAUGACACCAAGUCAAGAGGACAGCUCCAUCAUCAAAGAUGCCAAGGCAGUCAUCACCGAAGACCUGGAAGUCAGAUAUGGGAACCUGAGCUUUAGGAUUAUCAGCACAGAACAACAGCCCUGGAUCCAAGAUUUAAGUCCCUGCCCUACUUGGAAGAAGCCUGUGUUCAGAAAAUGUACAGUGAUGUCAUAAGGGAAAUCAUGGAAAUUAAAGAGCAGGGUCCACCCGGAGAAGUCCAGGUGGACAGUUCUUCCUCUGCUGGAAAGCCAGAGGCAUCAGGAAGGUCAUCUCCUCCCAAGAAAAAAAGUGCCAUGGCAGAGCUUUUUGGGGAGUUCUUUCCAACAGAGAAGGAAACCACCAAACCUUUGUCCCAGAUCACUGGGGAGGAGGUAAUGUCAUACAGGCUCACAGACUGCAUCCCUGUGGAUUCAGAUCCACUUGCAUGGUGGAAGAACAACGAGCAUAAAUGUCCUCACAUUGCUAAGUUGGCACAACAUCACCUCACAGUCCAAGGUACAUCUGUACCAAGUGAGAGAGUUUUCUCUACAGCAGAGGACAUUGUCCCUGCAAGUUUGGUUUACGUUGCAUUUUAUAUUGAUGACCUCUGCAUUAUUUAUUUUAUUUUGUUAUUUUAGAUAACAUAGUGACAUUUUAAGUGUGAUAAAAACUCCAGCCUCAUUUCUUUGAUUGUAUUUCAAACACCGCACUUCAAUUUCAUGUGGAAAAUGCUUUUCGUGAACCACAGGGAGUUGAAACUUGCUACAUGUUAGAAGAAACAUGUUAUUUUUGUGUUGAUUUCAAAGUGAUAUGUCGGAUAGAGCCUAUGUUUUACUUUAUGUUGAUGGUAUAUAAUGUGCUGUAAAAACUCACAGUUGUUAAAUUCUUGUAUAUGCACCAAUUUAAGGAUAGAGAUGUAAAAGUCGUUUUUACUUUUUAUAUUAGAUGAAGAUAUUGUUUUCCAAAUAAAUGAAAAGCAUGUUGGAACUA